rnacentral:rRNA from 1 species
UACAGGGGGGGCAAGCGUUGUUCGGAAUUACUGGGCGUAAAGGGCUCGUAGGUGGCCAACUAAGUCGGACGUGAAAUCCCUCAGCUUAACUGGGGAACUGCGUGUGAAACUGGCGAGCUUGAGGACAGGAGAGGAACGCGGAAUUCCAGGUGUAGCGGUGAAAUGCGUAGAUAUCUGGAGGAACACCGGUGGCGAAGGCGGCGUUCUGGACUGUUUCUGACACUGAUAAACGAAAGCCAGGGGAGCAAACGGG